CUUAGAAUAUGAACCGCAUGAUUUACUGCGCAUCCUUUAAACUACCCAUAUAGCGUAAUGUUUUGUGUUAAAUGUUACGAAUUGAGAUAACUGUUAAAUAAGUUUGUGAUUACGCCUCACGCCUUACGAAAGAUUAGAUGAUGAAUACAGCAUUUAUCUUCUGCGUUUUCGUAGCUCUGAUAUGUUUUGUUUCAGCACAGGAAUAUAAAUACUGCAACAACGGUCAAGACUGUUUGGAUGUUAAAUGUUCUGACGAAACAAACGCGACUUUUUGCCACUCACGAGUGCCACUGCCACGAAUAUAUUGAGUGCUACUUUAACUCUCAAUGUAAACACUGCGGUGUUACAAACUAUAGCUGCGAUAAAGGCCGUUACCACGGUCCUGACUGUACACAUGAUAGGAAGUAAAAUGAUAGUGCAAAGACUUAAAACGUGCGGAAACUGAAACUGAAAAUCUAAUUUGAUUCAAUGCCAAUUUUUAUACAACGACAUAUUCAAUGGCGUUGUACAUUUAAUUAAACAUGAUGGAAUGUGAAAAAACUCACAAAAAUUUAAAAACUAACACCUGCUGUUAUCGCAUUUAAAACAGUUAUCAAACAAUUUAAAACAUUGCCAUAACGUCUCUAAAAUACAGUGUCUUAAGAUUUUGUUUGAAUGUAUCAAGUGAUUCACUUUUGCGUAAUGCUAACGGCAGUUCAUUCCACAGCUUUGGACCAAUAGCACAGAAACUUUUAUCAUAGAAUGUUUUCCGCUUGCUUGUUUAGAACUGUCAAAUUUCCUCCUGUUAAGGACAAGUUUUGCACACAUGUUUUGAAUAUAUUGCAUCAUACGCACCUCACCGUUAGCUACACCAUACAGUAUGACAUUGCAGUAAUCCAGAUGUGAAACAAGUCGAAAGAUUUCCUGCGGCCAGAAGUUAUACAGACCAGAAAUUGUUGAUAGUAACUUAUGGAUGAAUAACGUACUUGUUUCGUGUUUUAUUAUACCAUUACGCUUUAAUGUAAGAAAUAUUACUCCAUUCUACAUGAUUUACAAGUAGAUAUAUGAACUAUGUAUUUCUUAAUUCUGAAAGUUAUUGUUUUGAGCAAAAAUAACUAUAUUUUCCUUUCAUGUAUAACAUAACUUUUUAGAUCAACUGGUCGCAUUCCUUGACUAUUGAAAUACUUUACUAGAGCUUUCACAAAUGUGAUACAUGCCUUCACCUGGGAAAUUGAAAAGCAAUUAACAUAAAAGCCCUUAUGCACAACAAGUUAUCAAUGUUGAUCAUUGCUGAAAGUUUGAAUAAAUUAUAUGAAAUAAUGAAUGAGGAAUCAGGUCACAAACAUUUCUCUAUAUAUCAUAUAGAGUGCUAGCUAUAUUGCAAAAACGGCGUUUCAUAAAUGCGAUAAGCCAAUCGCAUAUCGGUAAAAAGUCAGGUGAAAUCACCCAGUCCCCAAGUGCUAUACUGCUUGUUGCGUUCCAAUGCAGGUAAUAAUUAGAGACAAAACUAAAAUUUCAGUGGCUGCUUUGAUUAAAUAUUUGCGGAUGUUCUUUAUUCGUUGGUAAUUCAACAUGGCUGUACGACAUUUGCGAUUUACAUGAUCUUUAAAGUUUAAGGGUUCAUUAAGAAAUGCACCAAGAUAUCUAAUUAUGCUUUCACGUUUGAUAUCAUCACCAGCAAUGUUAAUCGGAUUUGUAAAACAUUUGUUCAAUUGAGGUCUGCUACCAAACAUAAUAAACUCAAUUUUUGAAGUGUU